CUGUGUUGGAAUUUUGAGCUCAGAGUGGAUGGUCGUGGCCUUUAUGAUUACCACAAGCUAUACUAUCAAGUUUGGCAAGGAAUAUGGUCUCUAUUUUCACGGAAUUUUCUCCAAUGGCUAAUCCCUCGUUUGAGCUUGGCCGCAUUAUAGAUCUUGCUCUAACUCUAAGAGAAAGUCGUGCAGUAGAUACAGUCAUACAGAGUCUCUCUCUGUUCUAGCCGGAAAACUGGUCUGGUCUGUUCGCAUUGGACAAUGGAGGAAGCCCAAGUUGUUGUAACACAAACUCGUUAAGAAGAAACCUGAGAGAAGUAAUACUCGUUAAUUGUGAUCUAUCUGCAUUUCCUUGCUGUGUAUUGACAACAGUCGGAUAUAUCUAGACUUGAAGCCAAAGCAUAACUCCAGCAGAAGGAUAGGGAAAUUGCAGCUCAAGUUUCAGAUGCAUAUGGAGAGGAUAACAUGGAACAUGUCUUUUUCAUAUAUUCAAAGUGAACUAGUGGCUGUUCAUUGGAUUGUUUCAUGGCAAAGUGAGCAGAAGAAAGGUUUGGAUGGGUUACAUGUACAUGUAAAGUUUGUCUUUGUUCUUUGUAAUGUUAGUUUUAUUUUAUUUAAGACUUGGUGACACUUGAUGUUAUGUAAGA